rnacentral:rRNA from 1 species
AUUGAACGCUUGCGGCAGGCCUAACACAUGCAAGUCGAACGAGUGGCGGACGUGUGAGUAAUGUCUGGGAAACUGCCUGAUGGAUGGGGAUAACUACUGGAAACGGUAGCUAAUACCGCAUACCAUCAGAUGUGCCCAUAGUGGAUUGGCUUGUUGGUGGGGUAACGGCUCACCAAGGCCACGAUACCUAGCUGGUCUGCUAGGAUGACCAGCAACACUGGAACUGAGACACGGUCCGGACUACUACGGGAGGAAGCAGUGGGGAGAAGUGCACAAUGGGCACAAGCCUGAUGCAGCCAUGCCGCGUGUAUGAAGAAGGCCUUCGGGUUGUAAAGUACUUUCAGCGGGUAGGCGUUACCCGCAGAAGAAGCACCGGCUAGCUCCGUGCCAGCCGCCGCGGUAAUAC